rnacentral:rRNA from 1 species
GCUUGCUUCUCUUGAGAGCGGCGGACGGGUGAGUAAUGCCUAGGAAUCUGCCUGGUAGUGGGGGAUAACGUUCGGAAACGGACGCUAAUACCGCAUACGUCCUACGGGAGAAAGCAGGGGACCUUCGGGCCUUGCGCUAUCAGAUGAGCCUAGGUCGGAUUAGCUAGUUGGUGGGGUAAUGGCUCACCAAGGCUACGAUCCGUAACUGGUCUGAGAGGAUGAUCAGUCACACUGGAACUGAGACACGGUCCAGACUCCUACGGGAGGCAGCAGUGGGGAAUAUUGGACAAUGGGCGAAAGCCUGAUCCAGCCAUGCCGCGUGUGUGAAGAAGGUCUUCGGAUUGUAAAGCACUUUAAGUUGGGAGGAAGGGUUGUAGAUUAAUACUCUGCAAUUUUGACGUUACCGACAGAAUAAGCACCGGCUAACUCUGUGCCAGCAGCCGCGGUAAUACAGAGGGUGCAAGCGUUAAUCGGAAUUACUGGGCGUAAAGCGCGCGUAGGUGGUUUGUUAAGUUGGAUGUGAAAUCCCCGGGCUCAACCUGGGAACUGCAUUCAAAACUGACUGACUAGAGUAUGGUAGAGGGUGGUGGAAUUUCCUGUGUAGCGGUGAAAUGCGUAGAUAUAGGAAGGAACACCAGUGGCGAAGGCGACCACCUGGACUAAUACUGACACUGAGGUGCGAAAGCGUGGGGAGCAAACA